GAGGAGCAUGGAUUAGAGUUUACCAAGCCUGGCUGUUUUGAUGCUUUACAUCUGAUAAGAUGGAAGAUUCAAUAUAUAGUCUUACAAUACAAACAGAAGAGACUCUACCAUUGUAAUGACAAACAGUCCGCUGUAGAGAUCCAGCAUAGAGCUCCUGGUCCAACAGUAAGACUAGACAAGGAGCUAUGGAAUCUCUACCAACCCUGGAGCGGGAGCUAUAGUCUACCAUCAGCUGCCUCCCCCAAGGUUAGAAGGAGUCCCUCCCUCCUACGCAAGGCUUAUAAAGGAAAUGAAAUACUCCGAAAAUUUGCUUUGCCCAAUUGAUCGUGGGCCCGGCAGCCGCUGUGCAGCGCCAGAUCGACGAGGCUCUAUCCCCUUAAUCGUUGAACGCCAAACAGGGUAGCAGCAACUCCCAUCUUUUAACGUCUUUUGGUCUGACGCGGCCUGGGUUUGAACCCCCGACCUCCCGGUUGUGAGACGGACGCUCUACCAACUGAGCCAACACACCGGUCGUGUUCAAGAAGUGUUCAAGAUUCAAGCUAUUCCAGGGAUUGAUGAGACAUUCUCAGAAUACCAAAGUAUAGAUCCUUGGGACACACCCAUUCCUUUUCAAAGCCCCACUUUGAUUUUGGGAAGUCCUUUAAAAGUUGCUGUUCCUCUGAAUUACUAUAUGAUAUGAACAUUUCAUAAAGCUGUUCUGAUUUAGAUAAUAUGAAAUAAAAACAUAAGUUAUUAUGGAGUUAUUUAAUGAUUUGCAGGAGUACUUUUGAUCAUUUUAUCUUUUUGAUAUUCUUUUAUAUGAAAAAAAGCUUGAUUUUUCAAGACACAUUCUGGAUAUGUUUUUGUACAUUAACUCUCUGGUAGCUAACUAAUACGUUUAUGAGAUAAGUGUUCAACUUGAACUUUUUAAACAAAAUGCACUAGAUAUAAAAAUCAAAUUAAUUUAUUCACAGUUCAUCACGUUAUUAAACCUUUGCCAAAACUUUAAUUUCCUUUAAAAAAUAACUAAGAGUAGAUAUAUUUUUACAUUUUUAAAAGACGAUGACAUUUGGACUUGAACUUUCCAAACUGAUGUAACUAUCUUCAGCCAUGAUAUCAAUGACACAUUCAUAUCCUCUACUUGUUUAUCUUUUUAUCAUAAGGUCAAUGAGUACAUUGCUACUUUGAACAUGUGAAAUCUAAUCUCAUGAACACUGAUAAAUGAAUUGUGUAAGAGAAGAAAUAAUAAAUAGGAAAUUACAUGCUUAAAAAUGAAACAAAACAUUAUUAAAGUUAUGCUUGUUGCAAUUGUAAGAUGACUAAAAACUUGAAUAUCAAAUUAGCAAUUUGGUGAGUACUUUAAUGACCAAGAAACUGUGUUUUGCCUUUAGUACCAGGCCAGUUCCCGCAGGGAUAACAUACAUCUUUGCGGGUCCAUAUGGAGGGGGGGGGGGGGGGGGCUUGUACAAUAUUUACUGUUAUAAACCUCUCUUAAAGAAUGUCGAAUAAUCCGUUCCUCUGAUUGGUCAAAACUGAGGUCAUGUAAACGACCAUGCCUGCAAAACAACAAACUAAGGUGGUAACCAAGGGCAACGGGCAUAGUUAACAAGAUUUCUGCCCGUUGCCCCCUGACCCGCCCCUUAACGACCAUUUGAUUGCAAGCAAAAUGUUGCUUUCUGCGGUGAUUGCAGAUACCAUAAAUGUCCGCGCGGUUUGAUCAAAAGUUUUAGACAAUUCGCGCAUUUACACGCUUAUUGCGCAAGUGCGCGCAACGGAUAUGACAUAUCGAUGGAACGAUGCCGAUCUUUGACUUUUGCUUGUUAAUUCCUGUUGGUAUGGCUUUAUUGAAAUGAAGACUAACUUAUUAAGGACAUAACGGAUGUAUCAAUCAUCAAGUCUUGUUGCAGUUGUUCGUCAAAAUGCAUGCUUGCAAAAGGUGAGUUGGGUGAAAAGAUAAGACGGUCACUGCACUUUCUAAAGUUAGAUUUAUAAGUAAUGUUUGAUGACUAAGUUAGAGAGCAGAGUCUAGACUAGAUCUACUCGUUUAUGACAAACGGAGUUAAGAGUAGACUCAAGAUCUAAGUUAGAUCUAACUAACUAGACUAACUAACUAGGGCCUAGGGCUUUCAGGCCUAACUUGUUUAAGAUCUAGACUAUAUUAGGCCCUACAUGUAGAUCUAAUGUUUAAUUUGGUUCAUAAAAUAUAUAUGGACUGCUUUUAUAUUUGAGACACGGUUGUUUCUUUUGGCUCGCGGGUACCGCAUCGGCCAGACCUCGGGCAUAGUCGCGUUGCGGUCCCCUUGAGCCUCUCUAGAAACAACCAUUACCUCUCAAAGCAGUCCAUAUAUCUAUACUAGAUGCAAAGAUGUGAAAACAAAAUUCAUGACAACCCCCCUCCCUAUAUUGUGCAAAGCAUGUUGUUCCUUGUAAAACAACUAUCCUUAUUAAAACUUGGAAAGCUACUAUUCUAAUAAUUCAAUGAAUGGAGUUGUCCUAUAUUCUGCAUAUGAUAACUCCUACUAUAAUUGGGAGUGUUUUCAAUUUAAUUCAUUAUCUUAUUCCAAAUUUAAAAGAAAAUUACAAGGUAUGAAAAUAUAUACAAUACAAAAUUCAACGCAAAGACGUCUUAGAAGAACACUAAGAACAUAACACAAAAAGUUUUCCAAACUUAUAUAGUUAUUACAACUUUAAGAAAUUCAUAAACUUUUUAUUUUUUUGCCCAGUUUCAUUCAAAAUAUUACCUAUCUGCCUCUUGGAUUUAUCGUUUAAGCAAUUUUUAAUGUCUUAUCUAUAUUCUACACAGACUGUGUCAUGAUUAGCAAUGUUUUAGAACACAUGACUUGUUCCACAGGUCACGUCUUUUUUGUGCCUUAGAAAUUUCUUCACAAUUUGAAAAUAUAGAUUGUCAUAUCUUGGAGAUCUCUUUAUGGUUGUGUCAUAGUUGUGUCUUGUUUAUCAUCAAUAUUAUAUUUGCAGAAUGUACUUUUUUUAUUUGAGGUGUUAGUCAUGGGUCCAUGGUUCACCUUACAUGUUUUAUCUCCCAUGUCACUUGUCUUCAACUCUAUGGAUAUUAUUUAUUUUCUGUGCUACUGCCCUCUGUUGGCAAUCAACGUAAUGUUCAAAUAUUGCUUAUAUCAAAUUCCACAAAACUGUCUUAUAUUUGAUCAGUUUGAAGAAUGAUGUACACCAACAUUUAUAGAAUCUUUCCUUUCCCUUCUUGUGCUAUUAAGGAUUUGAAAUUCAUUUUUCAAUUGAUGCAUGUUGUCAUCAAUUUGGACCAUGAUAAUUAAGAUUCAUGGUAAUAUUUAUUCUAAUAUCUUCACAUUUCCCAUUUUUAACUGGAUGAAUUUCAUUUUGUUUUAGUGUCCUAAGAAUUAUCCAUUUUAUAUAUUUUUUAAAUAACCUUCCGUGAUAUUAGGUCUUCAGUGCUCCACAUGUGACAUUGCCAACAUUACUUUUUUUUCAGAGGCUGCUUUUUAAGCACACCAAAAUUUUGUACGUGGAUUAUUAACUUGAUACUGUGAAAAAAAAAUACAUUUCUUUCAAACAAGACUCCCCCAAAGCCAUCUGUACUAUUAUUUGUUAAGACAACUGUAUCGCAAAUGCCAUCAGCUUGAAAAAUAUAUAUACAUCUACAUAUUCAUGAGGCUGUAUUCCUUUAAAACUGUGCUGCACUUGACCCAGGUGAGGUGAAUGGGUACCCGGCAGGAGUAAUUCCUUGCAUACACUGAGCGCCGGUGGUGGUAGCUCGAGCUAAAGCCGGGGUAAUAAUAGCAGCGCUUUGUAUCCUCUGGCAAAAAGCGCUUUAUAAAUCCAGCUAUUAUUAUUAUUGUUAAUAAUGAUAAUAAUAAUGAUAAUAAUAACAUCAUAUUUUACCCAGGGUAGCCACAUCAGUUCCGUUCUGUUCACCGUGCCAUUCUUAUAUAUUGUAAUAUAUUGUAAAGGCCUUUACAUCAUACAACUUAAUCGGCCUUGACGUCAUAUGUUAUCGAAUGAACACACUUCUAUUGGAACAUGAGGGAGUGUAAUGAGGAUUAAUGUACGGGAAGCAAUGGCCAAUAUAUGUAACAACAUUUUCAACACUGACACUGGAGUAGAUUUUUUUUACCAUUUAAACUGUAUCGCAGAAUUGCAUUGCACAAUAUGUAUAGGAUAUACUAAAUUGAUAGUGUUCAGCCAUACUCAUAUUAUUCAAUUUUGGGCUGGUUUAGAAAAAAGUGAAUUUUAGUCAUUUUUUAAAAGUUUUGAUUUUGUCUACAUCGGACGUAAAUAACUUAUUUAUUUAUUUACUUAUUACUAAUUUUACAUUUUUAAUUUUAUCCUUACUAUUGAGAAUUGGAAUUAUAUGUACCAUUUGGAAAUAUGUUUCUCUCUUCAUUUUAUUACUUUCUGUACCAAUAAUUACAGUAAUGACAG